AUGCCAGCGGCUGGGCUCGGGCAGCCAAGUGCACUCGCGGCGCCCCGACUCCAGGUAGCAAGUAGAGAGGAGGCUGAAGAGCCCCUCGGUUUUUCCGAAAGUUUCCAGCGAAUCCUUCUUGGUGAAGAUCGGCCUCUGGGAGGCAGCGUGUGUGCUUCCCGAGAGGGGGCCCCUGCGCCGUCCCCCUUCCCCUGGCACGGAAGGGUUGAAGAACUGCACACAGGGAUCCCUCCCCAGCCCAGUCUCCUCCCCGCGCGCCCCCUCCCCGCCGUGCCGGCCAGCGCCGGGCUGUGUCCCAGGCACUGCCCCCCGCCAACCGCGGCCCGACCAGCUUCGCCGCUGCAGGCUGCCGGGAGCCGCGCUAGCUCAUGCUCCCAGCUCUCUCGGUGCUCCCUGUUCGCUCCAGCCCGGACCCGGCCCCCAGCACGCGGACCAUGGAAUAGGCGGACGGCCCCGCGAGGCGCUCCUGCAGCCGGCGAGGCCAGAGCCAGCCCGGGGUGGCUUCGCCAACCGGCGGAGUUGGCCAGCGGCGGGCCCUCCUCCCGUCGGUCCUCCCCCGCUCCUCCUCCUCUGCCCCCGCCGCCCCCGCCUCCCGGCCGCCCCCGCCGCCCCCGCCGCGCCGCCGCCCCAGGCCGAGCGCGGGCGCGGAGCGUGGGAGCCAUGGCGCGCGAGGAGGAGCGGGACCCCGAGAGCCGGGAGGCGGCGGCGCGGGCGAGCGGCGAGGAGGAGGAGGAGGAGGAGGAGGGAGGGGAGGAGGGACUGGGCGAUAGCUACGACGAGGGCGACGACGAGGAGACGGGCAGCGGCGAGGAGGAGGAAGAGGAGGCGGAGGCGGCGGCCGGGUGGGAGCGCAGCGAGGACGCGCGGCUGCUGCGCGCAGGGCUGCCUCCUGCCGCCGUCCCCGCCGCGGCCGCCCGCGAUAGGAGCGGCCGCCGCCCGCCGAGGCCGCCACCCGGCCGCCCGAGGAUGCGGCCGCCCGGCGACGAGGACCGCGCGCGUCGCCGCCGCCGCCGCCGCCGCCGGAUAACCUUCUGCUGA
rnacentral:lncRNA from 1 species